GGGGAAUAUUGCGCAAUGGGCGAAGGCCUGACGCAGCAACGCCGCGUGAGUGAUGAAGGUCUUCGGAUUGUAAAGCUCUGUCGAAAGGGACGAAACUAGAGUGGGAGUAAUCCCCCACUUUAUUGACGGUACCUUUAAAGGAAACACCGGCUAACUCCGUGCCAGCAGCCGCGGUAAUACGGAGGGUGCAAGCGUUGUUCGGAAUCAUUGGGCGUAAAGCGCGUGUAGGCGGUCUGAGAAGUCGGGUGUGAAAGCCCUGGGCUUAACCCAGGAAUUGCGCCCGAAACCAUCAGACUAGGGUUCAGGAGGGGAGUGUGGAAUUCCCAGUGUAGCAGUGAAAUGCGUAGAUAUUGGGAGGAACACCGGUGGCGAAAGCGACACUCUGGACUGACACCGACGCUAAGACGCGAAAGCGUGGGGAGCAAAC
rnacentral:rRNA from 1 species